AGCCAAGCAGGAUGCAUUGUUGAGUGACAUCAGGGAGAAGGAACCUCCUGCAUGGUUUACAACUCCUGAGAACACUCCUCUGUCUUUUCAUCAGUCCUUUGUAGUUGAAAUACAAAAAAAUGAUACCCAGUGGAUCCUAAUGGAUUUUGUUGUCUCCUUGAACCCUCACAGACAGUGGGCCCAUUGGAGUUCUGUGCUCAUGUUCCAAAACCAUAUGUCUCUGAUGGAUUAGUGGAGAACUCAUAAUUGUAACUGUAUAUAUUGAAACUGGAUCUUGCUUUGGAAGCAAAGUGCAGAAAGGGUAAUAAUGAUCUAACAAACUGAAAGGCCUAAGGAAUACUGUCACAAAUGUCCUUUCUAAACCCUUUCCUGUAUCAGCCACACACUAACACUGAAAAUGAUAGCACACACUAAUCCAUAGCAGCUGUGCCAUUUUGCAUUCUUAUCAGCAGUAUUCCCAUUUGUCUGCACCCUUGCUUACUCUUGUCAUUUUCUUUUGGUGAUAUUUAUUUAUUUAGUUAGUUACUUGUACUAACCAUUCUUGACAUAUAUGAUAUGAUAUCUCAUUAUGG
rnacentral:lncRNA from 12 species